GAUGAACGCUGGCGGCGUGCCUAAUACAUGCAAGUCGAGCGAAUGGAUUAAGAGCUUGCUCAUAUGAAGUUAGCGGCGGACGGGUGAGUAACACGUGGGUAACCUGCCCAUAAGACUGGGAUAACUCCGGGAAACCGGGGCUAAUACCGGAUAACAUUUUGAACCGCAUGGUUCGAAAUUGAAAGGCGGCUUCGGCGGUCACUUAUGGAUGGACCCGGGUCGCAUUAGCUAGUUGGUGAGGUAACGGCUCACCGAGGCAACGAUGCGUAGCCGACCUGAGAGGGUGAUCGGCCACACUGGGACUGAGACACGGCCCAGACUCCUACGGGAGGCAGCAGUAGGGAAUCUUCCGCAAUGGACGAAAGUCUGACGGAGCAACGCCGCGUGAGUGAUGAAGGCUUUCGGGUCGUAAAACUCUGUUGUUAGGGAAGAACAAGUGCUAGUUGAAUAAGCUGGCACCUUGACGGUACCUAACCAGAAAGCCACGGCUAACUACGUGCCAGCCGCCGCAGUAA
rnacentral:rRNA from 1 species